rnacentral:rRNA from 1 species
UACGUAGGGUGCAAGCGUUGUCCGGAAUCAUUGGGCGUAAAGCGCGCGUAGGCGGCCCGAUAAGUCCGCUGUAAAAGUCAACGGCUCAACUGUUGAAAGCCGGUGGAUACUGUCGGGCUAGAGUACGGAAGAGGCAAGUGGAAUUCCUGGUGUAGCGGUGGAAUGCGCAGAUAUCAGGAGGAACACCGGUGGUGUAGACGGCUCUCUGGACCAUAACUGACGCUGAGACACGAAAGCGUGGGUAGCAAACAGG